rnacentral:lncRNA from 1 species
GGAAAAAAGAAAGUAGGGACAAGGCAUUGUAUGGAUUAUAAUGUAGCAGAAUCUGUAUUUUAAUGUGUUAGGUUAAUGUGUAACUAGGGAUAUCAUGUUACAUAUCUGUAAAUGAGUGGUAAAAGUAAAAAUAUUUACAUUUAUAUUUAGAUUAAUACUUUGUCCAAUAAUCUUUCUGAACAUAGUUAUAGCAGAAGUCACAAUUGAUUCAGCUUGGACUUAAUGGAUAUAUUACCACGGAUUCAGACUUCACAUAUAGAGAAAUGCUCAUUAAUUUGGAAUAACCUAAUUAAAUAAUGUAGUUCAUUUAGUAAUCUAGUGGCUAAAAUUUAACAGUCUUUACUUCUUAUAUAGCCAGUUUCAAGAGGGUUCGCAAUUUGGUCAGGAAGAGUUUCAGACGUUUUAAAGAAAAUAUUAUCCAAGGAAAGCAAUUUUGCUAAAUAUUAUAUCUAAAAGGCUAUAAAAAGGGCUAUUGAGAUAUAAUGUCUAGAAAACCAGUUUGCUUUUUCUCCUAAGCGUAAUAUUAGCUUCAAAAAAAGUGACUCAGUGCAGUUGAACAUUCACUUACUAAACAUAAUUAACCGUCUCUUAUUAUAAAGUUAAUACUAUGGGCUAUUGUGAUGUCAUGAUUGCUUUUGGUUUUAACUUGCUUCAUUUUACCUUGAUCUCCUUUCCACAUUUCGUUCAGUUGAAAAGGAGAUGUAUGAAAAUGUUUAUUAUGAUUUCAGAAAAAUAUGGAGGACACUUUAAAGCUGCUUGGAUUAACUUGUGAUAAACAUCAGACUUCAUGCAUACAAAGCCUUGCUAUGAUGUAAGACACUGAUGGUAAUAGUUUUUCCAGGGUUAGUUUUUAGUUUAUGUGUUAUCCAGAACUUUAUUGUAGAAUUUGUCCAUAAUAAAUGUUUACCAUCAUUUCUAAAUAUAUAUGGAAUGCCUAUUACCCUGAACCUAAGAUAGAAAAUGCUGGUUUUUUGUUUUGUUUUGUUUUGUUUUUAAUGCAGAUAACAAGUGAGAAGGAAAGAGUUAAAAGAUGUGCAAAUUAGUUCAGGCCAGAUGAAUUGCCCCUAUAUGAGGCAAGGUUGGUAUCUGCAGUGGUGAAAUUGUGGCAGUGCCAUCAUAGUUCUCAGUAGUUAACUUUUUCUCUUUUUUUUCUUUUCUUUUCUAUAGGUGACAUGAGAAUUUUUCAGAUUUCAAAAAAGACAUGGUUUGGCUAUUUCUUAACAAGGUUAAACAGAUACUUAUGAUAUAACCCAGCAACCCCACUGCUAGAUAUUUACCCAAGAAAAAUGAAGUUAUUUGUCCAUACAAAAAUACUCUCUGUAAAUGUUGCCAGUAGCUUUCUUCAUAAUCACCCAAAGACAUUUGGUAACAACCCAAAUGUCUGGCAGCUGGUGAUUGGAUAAACAAAUUGAGAUACAUCCAUAUAAUGGAAUAUAACUUAACAAUAAGAAGGAUCAAAGUACCGAUAUGUCCAACAACAUGGACGAAACUUAAAAGCAUUUAUACUAAGUAAAAGAUACUAGAAUCAGAAGUUUAUAUAUUCUGUGAUUCCAUUUACAUGGCAUUCCGUAAAAUAAAACUGGGGACAGAAAUCAUAUCCAUGGUUACCAUGGAGGGAGGGGGAUUGGAGUAGGCGAUUGAUUUCAGAGGGGCCUGACUUUUUGGUGUGAUAGAAAUGUUUCCUGUCUUGAAGUGUAGUGUUCACACAGCUGUAUAAGUUUUUCAAAACCCACAGAACCAUCUGAAAAGGUGAAUUUAACUAUAUGUAAAUUAUACUUCGAAAAAUGAAUAAGAAAAGACACAGUUUAAUAGUAGUCACCCCUUAUCCACAGUUUCACUUUUCAAGGUUUCAGUGACCUGUGGUCAACUGCCUCUCAAAAUAUUAAGUGGAAAAUUCCUGAAAUAAACAAUUUAUAAGUUUUAUAUGGCAUGAUGCUCUGAGUAUGGUGAUGAAAUCUCACACAGACCUGCUGUAUUCUGCCCAGGGCGUGAACCUUCCCUUUGUCCAUAGAUCCAUGCUGUCUACACUCUCUGCCCGUUAGGCACUUCGUAGCCAUCUCAGUGAUCAGAUCAGCGUCCUGCUAUUGCAGCACUUGUGUGCAAGUAAUCCUUACUUUACCUCAUAGUGACCCAGAAGCACAAGAGUAGUGAUAUUGGCAUAUUGUUCCAAUUGUUCUGUUUUAUUAGAGAUUAUUCUUAAUCUCUUACUAUGCCUAGUUUAUAAAUUAAAAUUUAUAAGGGGUAUGUAUUAUUGGAAAAAACAUAUAUAGGGUAGGUACCGUCCGCAGUUUUAGGCAUCCACUUACAUAAUGGGGGACCUUGGAAUGUAUCCCCUGUGAAUAAUGGGGGCUACUGUACAUCUACCAUAUAUUACAAAACACCCCCCGUGGAGACUGGGGCUGUACUAUGUAACAGUGAUAUUUUUGUAGUGAAAUAUAUGACAGCUGUGCUGUGUAGCUGUGUACACUAAAUGGGUCAAGUUUUGCUGCCAUCUGAGUUUUUAGAGCUUUUUGGGUUUCAGAUUUGCAAACAAGGGAGUGUGAAUUGAUGGCUGUAGAAAAAGGACCUGUGAUAUAGAACAAAAUGUAAAAACUAUUGCCAAGUUGUUUUGGAUCAAAUAGGGAAUUUACUUUUCCUGAUUUAAAUCACUUUUUAUGCAGCAGACACUGUGAUGGU